CACGUAGGGCGCAAGCGUUGUCCGGAAUUAUUGGGCGUAAAGAGCUCGUAGGCGGCUUGUCACGUCGGGUGUGAAAGCCCGGGGCUUAACCCCGGGUCUGCAUUCGAUACGGGCUGGCUAGAGUGUGGUAGGGGAGAUCGGAAUUCCUGGUGUAGCGGUGAAAUGCGCAGAUAUCAGGAAGAACACCCGUGGCGAAGGCGGCUCUCUGGGACGGUACUGACGCUGAGACGCGAAAGCGUGGGGAGCGAACAGG
rnacentral:rRNA from 1 species